AGUUGAUCAUGGCUCACGAACGAACGCUGGCGGCGCGUCUUAAGCAUGCAAGUCGAACGGCGAGAGGUAGCAAUACCUCCUAGGAGUGGCGGACUGGUGAGUAACACGUGGGUGACAUACCCUUCAGAUGGGGAUAGCUAUUAGAAAUAGUAGAUAAUACCGAAUACGAGCACAGGGGUUAGAGAUCUGUGAGGAAAGGAGCUAAGGCUCCGCUGAAGGAAUGGCCUGCGGCCCAUUAGCUAGUGGUGAGGUAAGAGCCCACCAAGGCGAUGAUGGGUAUCCGGCCUUAGAGGGUGAACGGACACAUUGGGACUGAGAUACGGCCCAGACUCCUACGGGAGGCAGCAGCUAAGAAUAUUCCGCAAUGGACGAAAGUCUGACGGAGCGACGCCGCGUGGAUGAAGAAGGCCGGAAGGUUGUAAAAUCCUUUUGAAACUGAAGAAUAAGCGUUGUAGGGAAUGACAGCGUGGUGACAGUAGGUUUUGAAUAAGCAACGGCUAAUUACGUGCCAGCCGCUGC
rnacentral:rRNA from 1 species